GUUUCCGUAGGUGAACCUGCCGAAGGAUCAUUA
rnacentral:rRNA from 1 species